rnacentral:rRNA from 1 species
CAGUACCGUGAGGGAAAGGCGAAAAGAACCCCGGCGAGGGGAGUGAAAAAGAACCUGAAACCGUGUACGUACAAGCAGUGGGAGCACAGGUUUACCUGUGUGACUGCGUACCUUUUGUAUAAUGGGUCAGCGACUUAUAUUCUGUAGCAAGGUUAACCGUAUAGGGGAGCCGGAGGGAAACCGAGUCUUAAUUGGGCGUUAAGUUGCAGGGUAUAGACCCGAAACCCGGUGAUCUAGCCAUGGGCAGGUUGAAGGUUGGGUAACACUAACUGGAGGACCGAACCGACUAAUGUUGAAAAAUUAGCGGAUGACCUGUGGCUGGGGGUGAAAGGCCAAUCAAACCGGGAGAUAGCUGGUUCUCCCCGAAAGCUAUUUAGGUAGCGCCUCGUGAAUUCAUCUCCGGGGGUAGAGCACUGUUUCGGCUAGGGGGCCAUCCCGGCUUACCAACCCGAUGCAAACUGCGAAUACCGGAGAAUGUUAUCACGGGAGACACACGGCGGGUGCUAACGUCCGUCGUGAAGAGGGAAACAACCCAGACCGCCAGCUAAGGUCCCAAAGUCAUGGUUAAGUGGGAAACGAUGUGGGAAGGCCCAGACAGCCAGGAUGUUGGCUUAGAAGCAGCCAUCAUUUAAAGAAAGCGUAAUAGCUCACUGGUCGAGUCGGCCUGCGCGGAAGAUGUAACGGGGCUAAACCAUG